rnacentral:rRNA from 1 species
AUACGUAGGGUGCGAGCGUUAAUCGGAAUUACUGGGCGUAAAGCGUGCGCAGGCGGUUUUGUAAGACAGUGGUGAAAUCCCCGGGCUCAACCUGGGAACUGCCUUUGUGACUGCAAGGCUGGAGUGCGGCAGAGGGGGAUGGAAUUCCGCGUGUAGCAGUGAAAUGCGUAGAUAUGCGGAGGAACACCGAUGGCGAAGGCAAUCCCCUGGGCCUGCACUGACGCUCAUGCACGAAAGCGUGGGGAGCAAACAGGAUUAGAUACCCUGGUAGUCCACGCCCUAAACGAUGUCAACUGGUUGUUGGGAAUUUAUUUUCUCAGUAACGAAGCUAACGCGUGAAGUUGACCGCCUGGGGAGUACGGCCGCAAGGUUAAAACUUAAAGGAAUUGACGGGG